rnacentral:rRNA from 1 species
GACAGAGGCCUCAAGCGUUAGGCGGAAUCACUGGGCUUAAAGCGUGUGUAGGCGGUUUGUCGCGUCGAAUGUGAAAACCCGGGGCUCAACCCCGGGCCUGCAUUCGAUACGGGCAGACUAGAGUUCGGUAGGGGAGUCUGGAAUUCCUGGUGUAGCGGUGAAAUGCGCAGAUAUCAGGAGGAACACCGGUGGCGAAGGCGGGACUCUGGGCCGAUACUGACGCUGAGGAGCGAAAGCGUGGGGAGCAAACAGG